UCUCCUCUCAUCCACGCCGAUCUCCUCUCUCGUGAUUCUCCUCGCCCGAUCGCAGGCCGCCCACGAGUCCACUGCCGAUGGAGGUUUUCUCCUCCAGCGUGCCUCAGCCAACUCCUCCCCGAGUCCUCACGAAACGCCACCUCCUUCUCACGACGCGCACAGUGAUGUGCGCUGGACAGCGGUCGACCACUGCCGUAACCUCGCGACUGUCAAGCCGUGUGACCGCCGCCUCCACACGACCGUCGCCUCCUCGCAGUCGCUGCCUACGCGCGACAGCCACGUCCUCGUGACCGCCGAGCUGUGCGAUGUUCGCGUCCGGAGGACCCGACACCAUCUUGUUAGCAAGCGGUUGCUGCCAUCUCACAGCCACCGCCGUUGCCACGCGCGCCUUUGCCGCCAGCCACCGCGGUCAGAUGUCCUGUAGUCCUCGCGUGCUCGCGUCGAAGUAGCCUGGCCGCCGAUAUGCUCCACUUCCAUGGAGUGUUGCUGUGCCUCCGGUGCCCAGCACCGCCGAAGGAUCCAACCACGACGGCGACAAACCCAUUAGUUUCGAGGAGUUCAAGGCCAUGCCCAUGCUUGCGUUGCUCGUGCUUGCGUUGCUCUCGCCAUCGGAAUCCACGGAUUCGAGUUGGAUGUGAUCUUUUGGACUUGUUGCAGACGGUUAGCUUGAUCAACAUUUAAGGCGGGUACUUCUUGCUUUGUUUCUUUUAGUACUUUGACCUUGGUGCAUGAACUAUUUUGGAUAAGAAAUUAUUUUUACCUUGA